UGGUUUUCGGAUUAAAGCAAU
ensembl:piRNA 21ur-5236 ncRNA